UUUAUGGAGAGUUUGAUCCUGGCUCAGGAUGAACGCUGGCGGCGUGCCUAAUACAUGCAAGUCGAGCGAACGGACGAGAAGCUUGCUUCUCUGAUGUUAGCGGCGGACGGGUGAGUAACACGUGGAUAACCUACCUAUAAGACUGGGAUAACUUCGGGAAACCGGAGCUAAUACCGGAUAAUAUUUUGAACCGCAUGGUUCAAAAGUGAAAGACGGUCUUGCUGUCACUUAUAGAUGGAUCCGCGCUGCAUUAGCUAGUUGGUAAGGUAACGGCUUACCAAGGCAACGAUGCAUAGCCGACCUGAGAGGGUGAUCGGCCACACUGGAACUGAGACACGGUCCAGACUCCUACGGGAGGCAGCAGUAGGGAAUAUUCCGCAAUGGGCGAAAGCCUGACGGAGCAACGCCGCGUGAGUGAUGAAGGUCUUCGGAUCGUAAAACUCUGUUAUUAGGGAAGAACAUAUGUGUAAGUAACUGUGCACAUCUUGACGGUACCUAAUCAGAAAGCCACGGCUAACUACGUGCCAGCAGCCGCGGUAAUACGUAGGUGGCAAGCGUUAUCCGGAAUUAUUGGGCGUAAAGCGCGCGUAGGCGGUUUUUUAAGUCUGAUGUGAAAGCCCACGGCUCAACCGUGGAGGGUCAUUGGAAACUGGAAAACUUGAGUGCAGAAGAGGAAAGUGGAAUUCCAUGUGUAGCGGUGAAAUGCGCAGAGAUAUGGAGGAACACCAGUGGCGAAGGCGACUUUCUGGUCUGUAACUGACGCUGAUGUGCGAAAGCGUGGGGAUCAAACAGGAUUAGAUACCCUGGUAGUCCACGCCGUAAACGAUGAGUGCUAAGUGUUAGGGGGUUUCCGCCCCUUAGUGCUGCAGCUAACGCAUUAAGCACUCCGCCUGGGGAGUACGACCGCAAGGUUGAAACUCAAAGGAAUUGACGGGGACCCGCACAAGCGGUGGAGCAUGUGGUUUAAUUCGAAGCAACGCGAAGAACCUUACCAAAUCUUGACAUCCUUUGACAACUCUAGAGAUAGAGCCUUCCCCUUCGGGGGACAAAGUGACAGGUGGUGCAUGGUUGUCGUCAGCUCGUGUCGUGAGAUGUUGGGUUAAGUCCCGCAACGAGCGCAACCCUUAAGCUUAGUUGCCAUCAUUAAGUUGGGCACUCUAAGUUGACUGCCGGUGACAAACCGGAGGAAGGUGGGGAUGACGUCAAAUCAUCAUGCCCCUUAUGAUUUGGGCUACACACGUGCUACAAUGGACAAUACAAAGGGCAGCGAAACCGCGAGGUCAAGCAAAUCCCAUAAAGUUGUUCUCAGUUCGGAUUGUAGUCUGCAACUCGACUACAUGAAGCUGGAAUCGCUAGUAAUCGUAGAUCAGCAUGCUACGGUGAAUACGUUCCCGGGUCUUGUACACACCGCCCGUCACACCACGAGAGUUUGUAACACCCGAAGCCGGUGGAGUAACCUUUUAGGAGCUAGCCGUCGAAGGUGGGACAAAUGAUUGGGGUGAAGUCGUAACAAGGUAGCCGUAUCGGAAGGUGCGGCUGGAUCACCUCCUUUCU
rnacentral:rRNA from 1 species